ACUACGGGUGGCAGCAGUGGGGAAUAUUGCACAAUGGGGGAAACUCUGAUGCAGCGACGCCGCGUGAGUGAAGAAGUAUCUCGGUACGUAAAGCUCUAUCAGCAGGGAAGAAAAUGACGGUACCUGACUAAUAAUCCCCGGCUAACUACGUGCCAGCAGCCGUGGCAAUAUGUAGGGGGCAAGCGUUAUCCGGAUUUACUGGGUGUAAAGGGAGCGUAGACGGCAGCACAAGUCUGGAGUGAAAUUCCGGGGCUUAACCGCGAAACUGCUUUGGAAACUGUGAGGCUGGAGUGCAGGAGAGGUAAGCGGAAUUCCUAGUGUAGCGGUGAAAUGCGUAGAUAUUAGGAGGAACCCCGAUGGCGAAGGCAGCUUACUGGACUGUAACUGACAUUGAGGCUCGAAAGCGUGGGGAGCAAACAGGAUUAGAUACCCCAGUAGUC
rnacentral:rRNA from 1 species